UCAACAGCUAAAAAUUUUAAACCUUAAAAACGUACCAUUUUAUGUAAUGUACCACGAAAAUGGUACAUUUGGCAGUACUGACAAGGAGUAGGCUACUCUAAUCUCUCAUAGUGUCUACGUUCCAGUCUUGUAUUUUUGCAAAGUCGUGGUUUGAUUACUAACAUCUUACAUUAUGUCGUUUUUGAUUUUUUAUUUCUAGUUCAAGUAAAUUUUCAAUUUUUAAUGUUAAUCUGCUAGGUAAAGUUUAUUUAUUUUCCUAACAAAAAAACUGACUAUUCGAUUUUACAAAAUAUACAAAUGUAUAAAUACGUAUAUUUUUAAUGAAAGUUUUAAGUGAUUCGUGUUAUUAUUGUCUGUAAAUAAAAUUAAAGUCGUCCCAAGUCUCAAGCGUAUAUACUUAUAUGAAUACACAUAUGAACAUUAUGGUUGGCUCAAAUAAGCAAGAAGACAAAGUAAUAACUUCGGCAAAACAAGAGUAUAAAAUUCUAGCGGAAUACAAAAUGGUCGAAUCUGAAAAAAUCGGAGGAGUGUAUGUAAUACCGUCAUAUGAAAAUUCUUUAUUAUGGUUUGGGGUUAUUUUUGUAAGAAGCGGGUAUUAUAAAAAUGGAAUAUUUAGAUUCAAUAUAAGUCUACCAGAUAAUUUUCCUGAUGAUAAAACUGCUCCGACCGUCAUAUUUCAAAAUGAAAUAAUUCAUCCAUUAAUCCAUCCAUACACAGGUGCUCUAGAUAUUUCUUUUGCAUUUCCCUAUUGGCGUAUAGGAGAAGACCAUAUCUGGCAAUUACUAAAGUAUAUUUCAUAUAUAUUUAUGGAACCUGAAGAGUGCUUAAAAUCAACGGAAACAUUUCAAAAUAAAAAUGCUUUCGAUCUUAUCACAAUUGAUAUCGAUGAAUUUAAAACUAAGGUGGCACAUUGUGUUCAGCAAAGUAUUAAUAACGUUUAUGAUCCGGCACCUGUUGAUGAUCCGCAUUAUAUUAUAUUUGAAAGGUUUAAUAAUGAAUUGCAUGGUCCAGUAUUAAAUAAAAUGAAAUUAGACGGAGCCAAAUCAAUUGUACCAUCAGCUCAUGCAACCACAAGUUUAUCAUGGGUAAAGGAAGGCGAGUUUAAACCGCUUUCAAAAGAAUAAAAGUGCAAUUAUGAAAAUUCAAACUAUUUCGGAUUUAUUCUUUUUUUCUUAUUCCUACAAGUUAAAACUAUAUAAACAGAUUAAGCCAGAGCAACAAUAUAAGAGUUAAAUCCAUAAUAGUUUUUUUUUGGACAUCAAAUGAAGUCGAAACAAUGUAGCAUUUUUGUAAAGUUUUAAGAUACAA